rnacentral:rRNA from 1 species
CAGCCGCCGCGGUAAAACGUAGGGUGCAAGCGUUAAUCGGAAUUACUGGGCGUAAAGCGUGCGCAGGCGGUUAUAUAAGACAGAUGUGAAAUCCCCGGGCUCAACCUGGGAACUGCAUUUGUGACUGUAUAGCUAGAGUACGGCAGAGGGGGAUGGAAUUCCGCGUGUAGCAGUGAAAUGCGUAGAUAUGCGGAGGAACACCGAUGGCGAAGGCAAUCCCCUGGGCCUGUACUGACGCUCAUGCACGAAAGCGUGGGGAGCAAACAGGAUUAGAUACCCCGGUAGUCCCUGUCUCUUAUAC